rnacentral:rRNA from 1 species
GAUGAACGCUAGCUACAGGCUUAACACAUGCAAGUCGAGGGGAAACGAUGAGAGAGCUUGCUCUCUUAGUCGUCGACCGGCGCACGGGUGAGUAACGCGUAUCCAACCUGCCUCUGACCAAGGGAUAACCCGUCGAAAGUCGGACUAAUACCUUAUGCAGUCGUCGGAAGUCAUCUGAUGACGACGAAAGAUUUCAUCGGUGAGAGAUGGGGAUGCGUCUGAUUAGCUUGUUGGCGGGGUAACGGCCCACCAAGGCGACGAUCAGUAGGGGUUCUGAGAGGAAGGUCCCCCACAUUGGAACUGAGACACGGUCCAAGCUCCUACGGGAGGCAGCAGUGAGGAAUAUUGGUCAAUGGGCGUAAGCCUGAACCAGCCAAGUAGCGUGCAGGAUGACGGCCCUAUGGGUUGUAAACUGCUUUUAUGCUGGGAUAAAGUGAGGGACGUGUCCUUCAUUGCAGGUACCGCAUGAAUAAGGACCGGCUAAUUCCGUG